GGGCGUAGCUCAGCUGGUAGAGCGUCAGCUUCCCAAGCUGGAUGUCACGGGUUCGAACCCCGCCGCCC
rnacentral:tRNA from 1 species